AGCAUCUUAUUAAAUAGAGAUGGGCGUGUUAAUCUUGCUAUCCGGAAGUGAAUGAAAUGACCGCUGCUGCGAGUUUUCAAGCACACUGGAUGAAGACCUGCGAAAACUUGGAAGCUUCACUGAUCUUUGACAUCAUAUAUAAGAUACUGUAUUCUUGUGGGAGACACAGCUUCAGAGUUUUGGGAACCACAAUUUGCACAGAAAGUAAACUAUGGAGGAGAACUUCUUGGGUCAAAACCAAACAGUAACACAGACUGGAGAGAAAAAUCUGUGAUCAGCUGAGGAAAGAGAUCUCCUGUGAGCAAAC